UGUUAGCCCAGCUAGCAUGGACAUUGACAGUUGUGAAUCUGAUGCAGCCGAAGAGCUACUGCCCCCUUACCCUGGAAAGCACCGAACAACAGACAGGGAUGUUGGACCAUCGAAGAGGUGCAAAUAUGAGGAGAACUACAUUGAUUUGGUGUUCACUUAUAUUGGGAGAGUGCCUUUCCUCAGCCACAGUGUGUAAUAUGUUAAAAAGUACUAUCUCACAAAACAUGAGAUAGUACUUGUUUAGAAACAAAACAUGACAAUUUGAAAAAUAAGGGAAUUAAGAAUUAAGACGACUUUCGUGAAGUAAGACUUGUAAAAGCAACAGAUACCAUGAAUAAGAAGGGGCUAGAAGCAUCUUAUAUGGUGAGCUACCAAGUGGCUAGGACAGGCAAGCCCCAUACUAUUGUGGAGGACUUCAUUCUUCCUGCUGCUGCAGAUAUGGCUGGGACAAUGCUGGGGGAAAAGGCCAAGAAACUAUACAGUGCACUCCCAUAGGGUUCGACAAGGAGUCAUAGGAGGGAAAGUUUCAGAUGGAUGGAGAGGAAUACAAUGGAUGGAUGGAGAGAUACAAUGAGGAUGAGAAUUGGCAGAAUGACCAGUACACGGCCUGACCACUGCGUAGGUACUGACAAAGAGAUAGGCAUACUUCAGCCAGUAGGUUUGCAUUGCUCUGGUGUGACAAUAGUGGCUGUUGGUGUGGCAUUUCUUCUGGACAAUAGCUGCUAUGCAGCAGCAGUUUGGAGUUAGAUCCCAAUGUUCUGACCUUGUGAUCUGUUUUAUUGUAUCCAACUCAGAGAUUCUAUGAGCAGCACUGUCUGAGUCACACCAUUAUCUGAAGGUUAUAUCUAUAGUCCAUGCUGAAAUAUCAAGAUCACAAAAAACUUUCUGAAUUGAAAUAUAACUGACCCCAACCCUCAUCCUCUGAGACAGUAGCCUACUAUUGGUCUAAUAGAGAAGAAUCCUCAGAUCACUGUAAUGCCUAGUCAUUCAGCUUCAUGGGAAGUGCAGAUGUCAACCAAAGUAUUGAGAUCUUGUCAGUAUGAUUUCAGUUGUUACUUGUUGCAGAAAAUAACUGACCUUGACUUGGUGCAUAUAAUACAUCAAACACACACACCUGAAUGGGCUACAUAAUUGAAUGUGGCACCUGAAUAGUCUACAGCAUGUGCUAAAUUGGAUAUAUUGCUACAUUGUUGUUGCAAUAAUUCUCUCCUUCUGUCAAUUUCCUGCCUUAUUAAAUU
rnacentral:lncRNA from 1 species